GGGUUCAGUCACACGAGCACUAAUGCACCAGAAUCUAUCAGAACUCCAAAGUUAGGCGUGCUUAAGCAGUAGUACUAGGUUACCUUGUGUCGCACACCGGAAUCAAUAUAUCCUUUGUGGGUUCAGUCACACGACCUAUUGGGAAACCUUGUGUUGCACACC
rnacentral:rRNA from 1 species